rnacentral:rRNA from 1 species
GACGAACGCUGGCGGCGUGCCUAAUACAUGCAAGUCGAGCGGGCCUCCGGAGGUGCUUGCACCUCCGGAAGGCCAGCGGCGGACGGGUGAGUAACACGUGGGCAACCUGCCUUUGAGGCCGGGAUAACACCGGGAAACCGGUGCUAAUACCGGAUACGUCCUCUUUCGCGCCUGCGAGAGGGGAGAAAGACGGUCUUUAAGGCCGUCGCUCAAAGAGGGGCCCGGGGCGAAGUAGCUGGUUGGUGGGGUAAGGGCCUACCAAGGCGACGAUGCGUUGCCGACCUGAGAGGGUGAUCGGCCACACUGGGACUGAGACACGGCCCAGACUCCUGCGGGAGGCAGCAGUAGGGAAUCAUCCGCAAUGGGCGAAAGCCUGACGGUGCAACGCCGCGUGAGUGAGGAAGGUUUUCGGAUCGUAAAGCUCUGUUGUGAGGGAAGAACAGCUUCCGGAGGAAAUGCCGGAGGUUUGCCGGUACCUCACCAGAAAGCCCCGGCUAACUACGUGCCAGCAGCCGCCGUAACAC